GCCUGGGUGGCUCAGUUGGUUGGGCAUCUGACUUUGGCUCAAGUCAUGAUCUCACAGUUUGUGGGUUCAAGUCCCACAUUGGGCU
rnacentral:tRNA from 1 species